rnacentral:ncRNA from 4 species
GAGGAAGCCCGGUGAGAUUCCGGCGCGGUCCCGCCACUGUGAGCCCGGCCGCCACCACCGGCCGGGCGAGUCAGGAACUC